rnacentral:rRNA from 1 species
AUUGAACGCUGGCGGCAGGCCUAACACAUGCAAGUCGAACGAGCGGCGGACGGGUGAGUAAUGUCUGGGAAACUGCCUGAUGGAGGGGGAUAACUACUGGAAACGGUAGCUAAUACCGCAUACCAUCAGAUGCGCCCAGAUGGGAUUAGCUUGUAGGUGGGGUAACGGCUCACCUAGGCGACGAUCCCUAGCUGGUCUGAGAGGAUGACCAGCCACACUGGGACUGAGACACGGUCCAGACUCCUCCGGGAGGCAGCAGUGGGGAAUAUUGCACAAUGGGCGCAAGCCUGAUGCAGCCAUGCCGCGUGUAUGAAGAAGGCCUUCGGGUUGUAAAGUACUUUCAGCGGGGAGGCGUUACCCGCAGAAGAAGCACCGGCUAACUCCGUGCCAGCAGCCGCGGUAAUUC